GCUCAGCAUUUGGGGACGCUCUCAGCUCUCGGCGCACGGCCCAGAGACGCUCUUCUGGCUCUUCCGUGACGCAUUACAACAGCCAUCCAGGCCGGUCCAGUUACGCUGCAUUCCUUCCUCCUUCCCAUUUCGGCGGACGUGCAUCCAGCUAGAGACUAGCAGAUUGAAUCGAUAUUCAUUAAGUUAGGAAUGGUUGAUGGUCCUAAGAGCCUCAGCAACCGAGAGGAGUCUUGUUAUUUAAAAAACAACGAUACUGGGCGUGGUCGUGGGCCUGUAGUCCCAGCUGCUCUAGCUAGUGGAUCUCUUGAGUCCAAGGCCAAUCUUCCUUCAAAAUGUCUACUGUUCACGAAAUCCUGUGCAAGCUCAGCUUGGAGGGUGAUGUGUGGAUGAGGUCACCAUUGUCAACAUUUUGACCAACCGCAGCAAUGCGCAGAGACAGGAUAUUGCCUUCGCCUACCAGAGAAGGACCAAAAAGUAUAUCGGGAGGCCCCAAGAUCUGCUUGCCAGGAGGCUG
rnacentral:sRNA from 1 species